CCUUGCCCUCCCUUGCCUUUUCUGGGGCUGCCUGGGCACUGGGGGCUGCAGGCAUGGGGCAGGGUGGUGAGUUCCCAUGGUCCGCAACCUCCCUCCCUUGCCCUUGGUGGGGCCUUGACCUGGUGGAGGUGUGGCCCACACCCCCAACUUCCUGUUUCUAAGAAAAAGUCCCAGAAAAGACUUGGUGGGGGGGGAUGUCUUUGGAGGCUUCUGGCCAAGGUCUGGGGAGGGGAUGGGAGGGAUUUUGUUUUGUCCAGAGGUGAGGUGGGGUGGGGUGGGGGGUGUGGGCCUCGAGGAGAGCUGUGGCGAGUGUGGCCUGGCAGGUGUCACCGGUCCAUCACUGUCCCGCCAUCUGCUUUCCCCAGACACCUGUUUCCCCAGGCAGGAAGGAGCGGUCAACUGGGACAGGGGACCAGGUCACCGCUCCUCCGUCCCAGUGUGGCCGCCUUGGGUCUAGCCUCCCCACCAGACCCAUGUCAAGAUAUGGGCCACCCCCCCAACCAUCCUGCACCCCCAUGCUUACAGUUGGCUGUGAGCAGGAGUGCGGGGACCCUCCCCCAGUCCGGGUUUACUCCCCUUCCCAGUCAGAUGCUGAUUAGGCUCUUCUCCGUCACCCCCCCACCCUGCGGGGGGAAGGGCCAGGGCAGAGAAUCCUCAGGGGAAUUGGAACGCUGGUUCCAAAACAUUCCGAAUUCCUGCUCCUUCCGGCCCCGCCGGAAGCGCGCCUGGGGAGGGGUGGCGGGGGAGGCGCGGUGCCCUGCGCGCCCGAGGCCCGAGGCCCCAGGGCUGGCCCUUGUGGGGACUGGCCUCCCCUGCCCUCGGACCUCACUCAUCAGGAUGGUGACCCCGUCUCCAGACACCCUGCUCCUCCCCCACGCGGCUGGGACCCCACCCAGUCCACACCCAGGCCUCCCCUGGCCCCCAGCCCCCCACACCUGGCCUGCCGUUCUUACCACCCCUUCUCCUGCUGUGUGCAUCUGCGCAGUCUUUCCUGACCAGGAGCUGUUUGGCGCCCCAGCUGCGCCCCCAGCCCUCCCCCCCGCCUCCUCCUAAAGGCUGUCUCACCUCCACUUCUGCCUCACCUUUGCCCUCUUUCUUGGGGGGCUCUCCUAGCUGGGGGGCUCACUGAGCACCUGCAGAGGGAAUGAGGAGGCCCUGGAGGGCCAAGCGCACCCCUGACCCUGGCCGUGCAGAGGCCCCUGUGGCUUCCAAGCCAGGUGUGAAGGCUGGGGGAGCAGGUGACCCCCCUCCUGUGCCCUUCCUCAGUCACCCCUGGAGGGAGGCCCUGCAGCUGCGGUCCACCCUGCCUCCCACUGAGCGGCAUUUGUGAGCAACACUUUAUCCCGGUCCCUGCUGUCUCUGGCUGUCCGGGGGACAGGGCUGGGGGCUGACAGUUCUCCCAACUGCUGGGCAGAGUUCCCAGGAGGAGGGGUACCUAGAGUUUUGGAGAGAAUCACCAUCUGGGGGGCCACAUCGGGGGGAGAUGGCUGGCCUGGUGGCGGAGCCCAGCACAUCUGGCAGGCUCGGUCAGGCUGCCCGGCCGGCCGGCUGAUUACAACCCUGUUUCUAGUCUCCAUCAGAAAAUGCCCCUGGCCAGGGCAGGGGGGCGGCCGGCCUGCCCCUCCACACCCAGGGCCUCGUGCCAAGAGGAGCCCAGGCCGGGCAGCUCUGGCCUGUACAGGUGGCUGCCUGGCCCACUCACUUCCCCUGGCCACCCCGCAGGCUUCCUGACGGACCGCAGCCGUCCUAGACCUGAGGCCGGGGAGCCCCACAGGGUUACCUGCUCGGCAGGGACCCGGGGCCGCUCCUCCCCCACCUGCUCAGGCCCCCCGCUGGCUCCCAGGGGGUCCUGUGCCAGCUGUGGCCCAGUCUUUUCCAUCAGAGAGGCUGUUGGCUGCCCUCAGUGACCGUCUCCUGCCUUGCAGGGCAGCGGCGGGAAGGGGCGGCCCCUCGCAGCCGAGUCUGUUCUCGGUGCUGAGUGCUGCCCGCCCCAAGAUGGACUUGCUAAAACGGCCCCGUGCUGCCCACAGGACUGAGGGCUCCCAGGGUGCUGGGGCCUCCUUGGGCAGGCAGUGAGUGGGUGCUGGACACCGCUCAGGACGCCAUCCCUGGGAGGAGGGGCUCCACCAGCCGGCCUUGCUACCCGCCUGGCACAGAGACAGGGCGGCCUGCCCGGGUUUGCACAAGGAAGGCGUCCCCUGAG
rnacentral:lncRNA from 1 species